GAUCAGGUUUUUUUUUUUUUUUUGGCAUCAAAUGAGUUUUAAGCUCAAGGGUCGUCAGGGAGACACUCUUGUCACAGUUUUGGUCCAGUCAUAUUGGAGUUCUUUACAUUGUGGGAUGGUUCAAGGAUUAAAUUAUAAAUGGUGAUUAUUUGUUGCUUUGAUUGUGAUAUUUUCUUGCCUUGGGUCUUGGAAUUUUAUUUGGG
rnacentral:misc_RNA from 1 species